rnacentral:rRNA from 1 species
UACGUAGGGGCCUAGCGUUGUCCGGAUUUAUUGGGCGUAAAGAGCUCGUAGGCGGCUUGUCGCGUCGUUCGUGAAAACCUGCGGCUCAACUGCAGGCUUGCGGUCGAUACGGGCAGGCUGGAGUUCGGUAGGGGAGACUGGAAUUCCUGGUGUAGCGGUGAAAUGCGCAGAUAUCAGGAGGAACACCGGUGGCGAAGGCGGGUCUCUGGGCCGAUACUGACGCUGAGGAGCGAAAGCGUGGGGAGCGAACAGG